GGGCAGCGGGACUGAGCUUGCUUCACUUGCCGGCGACCGGCGCACGGGUGAGUAACGCGUAUCCCACUUUCCGCUUACUCGGGGAUAGCCUUUCGAAAGAAAGAUUAAUACCCGAUGGUAUCUUAAGCACGCAUGAGAUUAAGAUUAAAGAUUUAUCGGUAAGCGAUGGGGAUGCGUUCCAUUAGGCAGUUGGCGGGGUAACGGCCCACCAAACCUACGAUGGAUAGGGGUUCUGAGAGGAAGGUCCCCCACAUUGGAACUGAGACACGGUCCAAACUCCUACGGGAGGCAGCAGUGAGGAAUAUUGGUCAAUGGGCGAGAGCCUGAACCAGCCAAGUAGCGUGAAGGAUGACGGCCCUACGGGUUGUAAACUUCUUUUGUGCGGGAAUAAAGGAGCCUACGUGUAGGCUUUUGCAUGUACCGUAACGAAUAAGCAUCGGCUAACUCCGUGCCAGCAGCCGCGGUAAUACGGAGGAUGCGAGCGUUAUCCGGAUUUAUUGGGUUUAAAGGGAGCGUAGACGGGUUUUUAAGUCAGCUGUGAAAGUUUGGGGCUCAACCUUAAAAUUGCAGUUGAAACUGGAGACCUUGAGUACGGUUGAGGCAGGCGGAAUUCGUGGUGUAGCGGUGAAAUGCUUAGAUAUCACGAAGAACUCCGAUUG
rnacentral:rRNA from 1 species